rnacentral:rRNA from 1 species
UCGAGAAUCAUUCGCAAUGGGCGAAAGCCUGACGAUGCGACGCCGUGUGAGCGAUGAAGGCCUUCGGGUUGUAAAGCUCUUUCGCUUGGGAACAAGAAAAGCUAUCGAAUAGGUAGUUAAUUUGAGAGUACUAGGUAAAGAAGCACCGGCUAACUCCGUGCCAGCAGCUGCGGUAAUACGGAGGGUGCAAGCAUUAAUCGGAAUUACUGGGCGUAAAGGGCGCGUAGGUUGGUUUGUAAGUCAGAUGUGAAAUUCCAGGGCUUAACCCUGGAGCGGCAUUUGAAACUGCAAAUCUGGAGGGUAGGUGGAGAAAGUGGAAUUCCGCAUGUAGCGGUGAAAUGCGUAGAUAUGCGGAAGAACACCUGUGGCGAAAGCGACUUUCUAACUUAUUCCUGACACUGAGGCGCGAAAGCAAGGGGAGCAAACAGG